AGCGAACGCUGGCGGCAGGCUUAACACAUGCAAGUCGAGCGGGCAUCCUUGUGGUUUCAGCGGCAGACGGGUGAGUAACGCGUGGGAACGUGCCCUUCGGUUCGUAAUAACUCAGGGAAACUUGAUCUAAUACCGGAUACGUGCGAGAGCAGAAAGGUUUAUCUGCCGAAGGAUCGGCCCGCGUCUGAUUAGCUAGUUGGUGAGGUUAUGGCUCACCAAGGCGACGAUCAGUAGCUGGUCUGAGAGGAUGAUCAGCCACACUUGGACUGAGACACGGCCCAGACUCCUACGGGAGGCAGCAGUGGGGAAUAUUGGAAAAUGGGGGCAACCAUGAUGCAGCCAUGCCGGGUGAGUGAUGACGGCCUUAGGGUUGUAAAGCUCUUUUCUUCGGGACGAUAAUGACGGUACCGGAGGAAUAAGCCACGGCUAACUUCGUG
rnacentral:rRNA from 1 species